CGUUUCGGAGUUUUAUAUCCACACUCACUUGUACCUUUACUCUUCUCUCCAAGAAGACUUGUUAGGGUUUUGAUUUUUCUUCAACAAUUUUGACCCACAUGACAAGAUAGAUUGGUAAUUUUUGGGCACAAGGAAGAAAUCGUAGCCGUACUCUUUACUAUGGUCUGCCAAACCCUAGUUUUCGGAAGAUGAAUUCUGUGUGGGAAUGUAUCACUGUUAGUUUUGGAGGCUUCUGUUGAGUUGACAGAGAAAGGAGGAAAAUGGAAGGAAAUGAGCAUGAAUUGAUGUUGGCAUGUGUGAUUUCGGGGACCCUUUUCUCUGUGCUGGGUUCUGCUUCUUUUGCUAUACUUUGGGCUGUUAAUUGGCGCCCAUGGCGGAUUUAUAGUUGGAUCUUUGCUCGAAAAUGGCCGGGAUUCUUACAAGGGCCCCAGCUGGGAAUUAUAUGUAGUUUCUUCUCGCUGUCUGCAUGGAUAAUUGUGAUCUCUCCGGUUGUGGUUCUUGUUACAUGGGGAUGCUGGUUAAUGUUGAUAUUGGGGCGAGAUAUAGUUGGUCUAGCUGUAAUAAUGGCUGGAAGUUCUCUGCUUUUGGCAUUCUACUCAAUAAUGCUUUGGUGGAGAACUCAGUGGCAAAGUUCAAGGGCUGUAGCUGUUCUCCUCCUACUAGCUGUUGGAUUGCUUUGCGCAUAUGAACUUUGUGCUGUGUAUGUCACAGCUGGUGCUAGGGCAUCUGAAAGAUACUCACCUUCAGGGUUCUUUUUUGGUGUGUCGGCAAUCUCCCUGGCAAUUAAUAUGCUAUUUAUUUGCAGGAUGGUCUUCAAUGGUAACGGCUUAGAUGUUGAUGAGUACGUACGGAGGGCAUAUAAAUUUGCUUAUUCUGAUUGUAUUGAAGUGGGUCCCGUUGCUUGCUUGCAAGAGCCACCUGAUCCCAAUGAGUUAUAUCCUCGACAAUCUAGAAGGGCUCUGCAUCUUGGACUUCUCUAUGUUGGUUCACUUGUAGUACUUCUUGUGUAUUCUAUCCUGUAUGGUCUGACAGCAAAGGAAUCAAACUGGCUUGGGGCUACAACAUCAGCUGCUGUGAUAAUCCUUGAUUGGAACUUGGGAGCAUGCUUGUAUGGCUUUCGACUUCUGAAAAGUCGAGUCGUUGUGCUUUUUGUUGCUGGUACAUCUCGGGUGUUCCUGAUCUGUUUUGGAGUUCAUUACUGGUACCUUGGACAUUGUAUUAGUUAUGCAGUUGUAGCAUCUGUGCUGUUGGGCGCUGCUGUUUCACGGCAUUUAUCAGUUACAGACCCAUUAGCUGCUAGGCGAGAUGCCUUACAGAGCACAGUUAUCCGCCUUCGAGAAGGUUUCCGUAGAAAAGACCAAAAUAGCUCUGCAAGCUCUUCUGAGGGUUGUGGCUCAAGUGUGAAACGCAGUAGUAGUGCUGAUGCUGGUCAUCUUGGUAAUGCAACUGUGCCUUGCACUGGUGAUGGCAGUACCUGGCAUAACAUUGAGGGGAUUAAUAGUGAUAAGAGCAUAGACAGUGGAAGGCCAAGUUUAGCUCUGCGUAGUAGUUCCUGUCGUUCAGUAGUUCAAGAGCCUGAAGUAGGAUCGUCUUAUGUUGACAGAAAUUUAGAGCAUAAUAGUUCAUUGGUUGUAUGUUCUAGUAGUGGCCUUGAAAGCCAAGGCGGUGAUUCUAGUACAUCCACUUCUGCAAAUCAACAGAUAUUGGACUUGAAUUUGGCACUUGCAUUUCAAGAAAAGUUGAGUGAUCCCAGGAUUACAUCUAUGUUAAAGAGGAAAGGAAGACACAGAGAUCGUGAAUUAGCUAAUUUGUUGCAAGAUAAAGGGCUUGAUCCUAAUUUUGCUGUGAUGCUGAAGGAGAAUGGACUGGACCCAAUGAUUCUAGCCUUGUUGCAGAGAAGUAGUUUGGACGCUGAUCGAGAACAUCGUGACAAUAACCCUCCUGUCACUGAUUCAAACGAUGUUGACAAUGUGUUACCUAAUCAAAUUUCAUUCUCGGAAGAACUUAGACUCCAAGGACUGGGAAGGUGGCUUCAACGUUGUAGAGUAAUGUUGCAUCAUAUAGCAGGAACUCCAGAGCGAGCAUGGCUUCUUUUCAGUUUAGUGUUCAUACUUGAAACCGUCAUUGUGGCUAUCUUCCGACCAAAUACAAUAAAACUUUUGAAUGCUACACACCAACAGUUUGAAUUUGGCAUCGCGGUUCUCCUUUUGUCUCCUGUUGUCUGUUCUAUUUUGGCCUUCCUUCGGUCUUUGCAAGCUGAAGAUUUAUCCAUGACUUCAAAACCCCGGAAGUAUGGCUUUAUCGCUUGGAUGCUGAGCACUUGUGUUGGUCUGCUGCUUUCAUUCUUGAGCAAAUCAUCAGUUCUUCUGGGAUUAUCAUUGACAGUACCCUUAAUGGUAGCGUGCCUAUCUAUUGCAAUUCCUAUAUGGAUUCGUAAUGGGUACCAGUUUUGGUCUUCAAGAGCUGAGAAUGCAGGCCGUGCAGGAAGCCAUCUAACACUGGGGAUGAAAGAGGGUGUUAUUCUUUUCAUUUCCAUCUCCUUAUUUGCUGGGUCCAUUUUAGCUCUUGGAGCAAUAGUGUCUGCAAAGCCUUUGGAUGAUUUAGAUUAUAGGGGGUGGACUGGUGGUCGGAAUGGUGUUACAUCUCCUUAUGCAUCAUCUGUUUACCUUGGCUGGGCAAUGGCUUCUGCAAUUGCUUUGGUAGUUACUGGUGUGCUGCCAAUUAUAUCCUGGUUCGCAACUUAUCGGUUUUCUGUCUCAUCUGCUAUUUGUAUUGCCAUAUUUGCAGCUGUUAUUGUGGCCUUUUGUAGCGUAUCCUACUUUGAAGUUGUUGGCUCUAGAACCGACCAGAUUCCAACAAAAGCUGAUUUCCUCGCUUCUUUGCUUCCAUUGAUAUGCAUUCCAGCAGUAUUGUCUCUUGGUGCCGGUUUGUUCAAGUGGAAAGAUGACAAUUGGAAGCUCUCUCGAGGUGCUUAUAUGUUCAUAAUCAUUGGUCUUCUUCUUUUGCUUGGAGCCAUUUCAGCUAUUAUAGUUACAAUUAAACCCUGGGCGAUAGGGGCUGCAUUCCUUCUGGUGCUUCUCCUGCUUGUUCUAGCUAUUGGUGUUAUUCACUAUUGGGCGUCAAAUAAUUUUUAUUUGACAAGGAUACAAAUGUUACUUGUUUGUUUUCUUGCAUUCCUUUUAGCUCUAGCAGCAUUUCUUGUUGGAUGGUUUCAGGAUAAGGCUUUUGUGGGUGCAUCUGUUGGUUAUUUCUCGUUUCUUUUUCUGGUAGCUGGAAGGGCAUUAACAGUCCUUCUUUCACCUCCUAUAGUAGUUUAUUCCCCAAGGGUGUUGCCUGUUUAUGUUUAUGAUGCUCACGCGGACUCUGGCAAAAAUGUCAGUGCUGCAUUUCUUGUGCUCUAUGGCAUCGCGUUGGCUAUUGAGGGCUGGGGUGUGGUUGCCAGUUUGAAAAUUUAUCCACCAUUUGCUGGUGCGGCUAUAUCAGCAAUUACACUCGUUGUGGCCUUUGGCUUUGCUGUCUCUCGUCCAUGUUUAACACUUGAGAUGGUGGAAGAUGCUGUUCAUUUUCUUAGCAAAGAAACCACAGUCCAGGCAAUUGCUCGAUCUGCCACGAAGACCAGAAAUGCUUUAUCUGGAACAUACUCUGCCCCCCAGAGGUCGGCUAGCUCAGCUGCUCUAUUGGUUGGUGAUCCAACAAUGAUGAGGGAUAGGGGAGGCAAUUUUGUGCUUCCACGAGCUGAUGUCAUGAAAUUAAGAGAUCGUCUCAGAAAUGAAGAACUGGCCGCUGGGUCAAUUUUCUGCAGAUUAAGACAUAGGACACUGAGGCAUGAAGCAACUAGUGAUGUAGGUCACCGAAGAGAAAUGUGUGCUCAUGCUCGAAUUCUGGCUUUAGAGGAAGCAAUUGAUACUGAAUGGGUUUACAUGUGGGACAAGUUCGGUGGUUACUUGCUUCUUUUGCUUGGUUUGACGGCUAAAGCUGAGAGGGUACAGGAUGAGGUUCGUCUCCGACUUUUCCUUGACAGCAUAGGGUUUUCGGAUCUUAGUGCCAAAGACAUAAAAAAAUGGCUCCCAGAAGAUCGUAGACGAUUUGAAAUCAUACAGGAGAGUUAUAUGAGGGAGAAGGAGAUGGAAGAGGAAAUCCUGAUGCAGAGACGUGAAGAGGAGGGAAGGGGUAAAGAAAGGAGGAAAGCUCUCCUUGAGAAGGAGGAGCGUAAAUGGAAGGAAAUAGAGGCGUCGCUAAUAUCAUCUAUUCCUAAUGCUGGGAAUAGAGAGGCAGCGGCGAUGGCAGCUGCAGUCCGUGCAGUGGGAGGAGAUUCUGUUCUUGAUGACUCUUUUGCACGGGAAAGAGUUUCAAGCAUUGCACGUCGUAUUCGUGCUGCUCAACUAUCUCGUCGGGCACUUCAGACUGGACUUGCUGGUGCUGUGUGUAUACUUGAUGAUGAACCCACCACUAGUGGCAGACAGUGCGGUCAGAUUGAUCCCACUGUAUGUCAACGUCAAAAAAUUAGCUGCUCCCUUGCUGUAAUGGUCCAGCCUGAAUCUGGACCUGUUUGUUUGUUCGGCACUGAAUUCCAGAAGAAUAUUUGCUGGGAAUUUCUUGUGGCUGGCGCUGAGCAAGGCAUUGAAGCAGGACAAGUUGGGCUUAGAUUAAUUACUAAAACUGACAAGCAGACUACUGUAAAGGAGUGGAGUAUAAGUGCCACCAGUAUCGCAGAUGGAAGGUGGCAUAUCAUAACAUUGACUAUUGAUGCUGAAUUGGGUGAAGCAACUUGCUACCUAGAUGGAAAUUUUGAUGGCUACCAGACUGGGCUACCACUAAGAGUGGCUGGUUGCAUAUGGGAGCUGGGAACGGAUGUUUGGGUGGGCAUAAGGCCACCUAUUGAUGUUGAUUCAUUUGGGAGAUCCGAUAGUGAAGGAGCUGAAUCAAAGGUGCUCAUAAUGGAUGUAUUUCUUUGGGGAAGGUGCUUGACAGAAGAUGAGAUUGCGGCUCUUCCCGCGGCUAUGGGUUCUGCUGAGUACAGCAUGAUUGAUCUGCCGGAUGAUAAUUGGCAAUGGGCAGAUUCUCCAACUAGGGUUGAUGGGUGGGACAGUGAUCCUGCGGAUGUAGAUCUUUAUGACAGAGAUGAUGUAGAUUGGGAUGGGCAGUAUUCAAGUGGGAGGAAGAGAAGGUCAGAACGUGAUGGGGUUGUGUUGGACGUGGAUUCUUUUACUCGAAGGUUGAGGAAGCCUCGAGUAGACACACAGAAGGAAAUCAAUCAACACAUGCUUUCAGUGGAAAUGGCUGUGAAGGAGGCUCUCUUAGCAAGAGGAGAAUCACACUUUACUGAUCAAGAGUUUCCUCCCAUUGACCGCUCAUUAUUUAUGGAUCCCGACAAUCCCCCAUCUAAAUUGCAGGUUGUUUCUGAAUGGAUGAGGCCUACUGAUAUAGUGAAAGAGAAGCAUCUGGAUUCUCACCCAUGCUUAUUUUCUGGAGUAGCAAAUUCUUCAGAUGUUUGUCAGGGACGACUGGGUGAUUGUUGGUUUCUAAGUGCUGUUGCUGUGCUAACUGAGGUUUCACGAAUAUCAGAAGUCAUAAUUACACCAGAAUACAAUCAAGAAGGAAUAUAUACAGUUCGCUUCUGCAUUCAGGGGGAAUGGGUCCCUGUUGUGGUAGAUGAUUGGAUUCCAUGCGAGUCACCUGGUAAACCAGCAUUUGCCACCAGUAGGAAGGGUAAUGAAAUGUGGGUCUCCUUGUUAGAAAAAGCUUAUGCGAAGCUUCAUGGCUCAUAUGAGGCAUUAGAGGGUGGACUUGUGCAAGAUGCUCUUGUAGACCUCACUGGAGGUGCUGGUGAGGAGAUUGACAUGAGAAGUGCUGAAGCACAGAUUGAUCUUGCAAGUGGAAGACUCUGGUCUCAGCUGCUGCGCUUCAAACAAGAGGGUUUCUUACUAGGUGCUGGUAGCCCUUCAGGUUCAGAUGUACAUAUCUCUUCCAGUGGUAUUGUCCAAGGUCAUGCCUACUCGAUAUUACAGGUACGAGAAGUUGAUGGCCACAAGCUUGUUCAGAUCCGGAAUCCAUGGGCAAAUGAAGUUGAAUGGAAUGGCCCUUGGUCAGAUCCAUCACCUGAAUGGACCGACAGGAUGAGAUACAAGCUUAAGCACGUCCCACAGGCAAACGAUGGAAUUUUCUGGAUGUCCUGGCAAGAUUUCCAGAUACAUUUUAGGUCUAUAUAUGUUUGUCGUGUCUACCCACCAGAAAUGCGCUACUCGAUCCAUGGUCAAUGGAGAGGUUACAGUGCUGGAGGCUGCCAGGAUUAUGACACAUGGCAUCAGAACCCCCAAUAUCGACUAAGAGCAAGUGGUCCUGAUGCUUCCUUGCCGAUUCACGUUUUUAUCACCUUAACUCAGGGUGUGAGCUUCUCAAGGACAACAGCUGGUUUCAGGAAUUAUCAGUCAAGCCAUGAUUCAAUGAUGUUCUACAUUGGGAUGAGGAUACUGAAAACUCGUGGUAGACGUGCUGCAUAUAACAUCUAUUUGCAUGAAUCUGUUGGUGGGACAGACUACGUAAAUUCUCGAGAAAUAUCGUGUGAGAUGGUCCUAGAUCCUGAUCCAAAGGGUUACACAAUAGUGCCUACUACAAUACAUCCUGGUGAAGAGGCGCCUUUUGUUCUCUCAGUUUUUACCAAAGCUUCGAUAAGUCUUGAAACUUUAUAGUUUUGCAUUGUGAGGACCCAUUUGAUUUGGGUUUGAUUACUACUUGAGCAUCUCUAAAGAGAAUCUGCGUGGACCAUCCCCGAUCAUUCAUAUCUGUCUAAGAGCUUAUUGAGUGGUAAAUUUACAUAAGAAAUGCUCGGCAUAGAAAAAUGAGAAAGGAUGUUCUGUCCUUCGCAAGCUCUACCUUAUUCUCAGGAAGUCGUCCAUGGUCGCUAAUCUCAUUCAUGUAUGGUGGGGGUGCUGGAAGUCUCUAAGCCAAUAGAAGGAAGAAGGUCCAUUGAACGUGGUCUCGAAGAGGGUUCUCGGGGAUCAAACACGCUGUACAUGAGUAGAUGUUGUAAGAAAAUAGGAUUAAGUAAAUGUAAAUGAGGGUUAAAAAAAAAAAAAAGGAAUAGAUGAAAAGAAUAGAAAUAGGUGUUAGGGAUGCCCUGUUGGAUGGGUUAUAGUUUAGCAUGAUGGAGUGUCCCCCAUAUGGCUGAAAAAUCGAUUGAAGUUUCAGCCUCAGUUUUGAAGCACUUACUUGUAGACAUCAUUAAUUGUAAAAAUGUAACAUUUUUUCCCAUUAAUAGAAUUAACUAUAUCUUCUUUCUACAA